rnacentral:rRNA from 1 species
ACACGAACCGUACGAACGUUAUUCGGAAUUACUGGGCUUAAAGAGUGCGUAGGCGGCUUGGAAGGUUGGAUGUGAAAUCCCUCGGCUCAACCGAGGAACUGCGUUCAAAACCACCAAGCUUGAGGAAGGCAGAGGUGAGCGGAACUGAUGGUGGAGCGGUGAAAUGCGUUGAUAUCAUCAGGAACACCGGUGGCGAAGGCGGCUCACUGGGCCUUUUCUGACGCUGAGGUGCGAAAGCGUGGGGAGCAAACAGGAUUAGAAACCCGGGUAGUCC